AUUGAACGCUGGCGGCAGGCUUAACACAUGCAAGUAGAGCGAGCGGCGGACGGGUGAGUAAUGUCUGGGAAACUGCCUGAUGGAGGGGGAUAACUACUGGAACCGGUAGCUAAUACCGCAUACCAUCAGAUGUGCCCAGAUGGGAUUAGCUAUUAGGUGGGGUAAUGGCUCACCUAGGCGACGAUCCCUGGCUGGUCUGAGAGGAUGACCGGCCACCCUGGAACUGAGACACGGUCCAGACUCCUACGGAAGGCAGCGGUGGGGAAUAUUGCACAAUGGGCGCAAGCCUGAUGCAGCCAUGCCGGUUGUGUGAAGAAGGCCUUGGAGUUGUAAAGCACUUUCAGCGAGGAGGCGUUACUCGCAGAAGAAGCACCGGCUAACUCCGUGCCAGCAGCCGCGGUAAUUC
rnacentral:rRNA from 1 species